rnacentral:tRNA from 1 species
GGCCGCGUGGCCUAAUGGCUAAGGCGUUAGAUUUCGGUUACCUUUGGUAUUCAUCCGUCUUCUCUAAAGAUUCCAGGUUCGACUCCUGGCGUGGUCG